ACGAACGCUGGCGGCGUGCUUAACACAUGCAAGUCGAACGGAAAGGCCCUGCUUUUGUGGGGUGCUCGAGUGGCGAACGGGGGAGUAACACGUGAGUAACCUGCCCUUGACUUUGGGAUAACUUCAGGAAACUGGGGCUAAUACCGGAUAGGAGCUCCUGCUGCAUGGUGGGGGUUGGAAAGUUUCGGCGGUUGGGGAUGGACUCGCGGCUUAUCAGCUUGUUGGGGGGGUAGGGGCUUACCAAGGCUUUGACGGGUAGCCGGCCUGAGAGGGUGACCGGCCACAUUGGGACUAAGAUACGGCCCAGACUCCUACGGGAGGCAGCAGUGGAGAGUAUUGCACAAUGGGCGGGAGCCUGAUGCAGCAGCGCCGCGUGCGGGAUGACGGCCUUCGGGUUGUGAACCGCUUUCGCCUGUGACGAAGCGUGAGUGACGGUAAUGGGUAAAGAAGCACCGGCUAACUACGUG
rnacentral:rRNA from 1 species